UGUUGUGUUUCCUCCGUGCAUGCAGAAAGACAGAGAGCGUCACGUCGUAGUUACUAGAUGAAAGUUAAAUAAAGACAGAGAAACUGAAAACCAGAAGGAAAGAUUGCGACAGAGUCUUCGGAAGAUAACUUAACUCUCCCCUAAGUGGUCGCUCGUAAAAGUGGCUUGACGUUUGGAAGUGCGGAGAUUUCCGAGGGUUUCUUUUUGUAAAGCUUGGAGGAGCAGGAGCCCCGUGGCCUUACUGGAUGCCACCAUAUUUUGUUCCGGUGCUCAACCCACUCACGGAGAUCGGUCAGGUUUUUUGUGUUGGUUUGUUUCUUCGUGUGGACCUGUCCAGCGAGAUGGUUGGUGAGCCUUCCCAUCCUGAUCCAGAGAGAGACCAAGAUAUCCUGUGGUCACUGGACAGGUUUUGCUGCACUCCGCGGUGUGGUAGGACCAGUAUCUGCAGACACCCUCACACUCAGCCCCAUAUGCAACCCCCCCUUUCUUCAACCACCCAUACAUACACUUACCCAUCUUCCACGGGACUCUGAAUCCCCCAUACUUACCCUUUUUUUUUUGGACAUCCCGGGAACCUUGGACUUAUACUUACAUUUUUUGACUUUUUCUUGCACUGUGGACUCAAUCCAACAUACUACCUCUUCAUUCCCUGGAAUUGUACAUUGGUGGCUAAUGUAUACAUUUAUUAUUGUUUGUGAACUGUGAAUUGGAUCAGAAACACUUGAAUUUCAGGUGACACACAAAAUUCAGCUGAAAAAGGUGCACCCAAUAGAUAGAAGUGGUAUUGGCCAAUUGGAUACCUGAUAAUUGCCUUUGGUGAUAUAAUUGUUAUAACACCAACCUGUUGAACUGUAAAGCAUGUUUCCAUUUUUCUACUAAAGCCUGUAUAUUUUUACAUUUA